UACGGAGGAUGCAAGCGUUAUCCAGAUUUAUUGGGCGUAAAGCGUCCGCAGGUGGCUAUUCAAGUCUGCUGUCAAAGCUCGGAGCUUAACUCCGAAUCGGCGGUGGAAACUGAACAGCUAGAGUGCAGUAGGGGUAGAGGGAAUUCCCAGUGUAGCGGUGAAAUGCGUAGAGAUUGGGAAGAACACCGGUGGCGAAAGCGCUCUACUGGACUGCAACUGACACUCAGGGACGAAAGCUAGGGGAGCGAAUGGG
rnacentral:rRNA from 1 species